rnacentral:lncRNA from 1 species
UGGAGGUUGGGAGGUACAACAGAGAGCAGCUUGGCUAACUGCUCUCUGAAGAACCUGACACUCCUUUAAAAGGGGUUGUGGGUUGAGGUGAGUGGUGAGGGAAGAGGUAAGCUGAGAGGGGAGGGAGAUUAGGUAAACUGAGACAGAAGGUUUGGGCAAGAUGUAAAGGGAUGGGUGAGGUGUAAAGAGAGCAGGGGUUGAUCAGGCGUGGGGAAGGUAUGUGGGGUCAGUAAGCAGAGCAAGCAUAUGUGCCCCAACACACCCAAUUUGGGAAUUUCACUGGGAGUGUAGGAGCCACAUUAAGAGCUUUCCCAGGCUAAGAAAUAUGCACAGAGCUGCCCCACCCCCAUUCUGUAAAGUGAAUGCACAAGCAUUAAAUCACAUGUGAAGAUCUCAGACUGAAUGACAAGGAUUUGUUGUUCUCAUCAUAAAACUGACCCAGGUAAUUGUCAAAGAGCUACCUCAGCAGGCCUGCUGAGCCCUGAGGCCCCAUCUGCACUAUACAUUUAUAGCAGCAUCACAGCACUUUGUACAGCCAUGGGUUCCCCAAAAGAAUCUUGGGAACUGUAGUUUAUUAAGUGUGCUGAGGGUUGUUGGGAGACCUUCAUUUCCUUUUCAGAACUAUAAUUCCCAGAGUUCCCUAGGAAGACGGAUUGACUGUUAAACGAUUCUGAGAAUAGUUACUCUGUGAGGGCACCAUUCUCAGCACUCUUAACAAACUACCGUUUCCAGGAUUCUUUGGGAGAAGCCAUGACUUUUCAAAGUGGUAUGAUGAUGCUUUAAAUGUAUACUGCAGAUGGAGCCUGAAUCUUGACUGGAACCAACAAAGGACUAAUCUUCUAAUAAUGUACAGUUGUACCCUGGAAGUCGAACAGAAUCCGUUCUGGAAAUCUGUUCGACUUCCAAAAUGUUUGAAGCCACUGCAGCAAAUCAGAAGCCUAGGAAGCCCCGUCGGACAUUUGGGUUCCAAAAGAACAUUCGCAAACAUUCACAAUCACUUCUGGGUUUGUGGUGUUUCGGAGCCAAAACAUCCGUGUUCCAGGGCAUUCAGGAUCCAAGGUACAACUGUAUUGUUACAAAGUAGGAAGACUAGCAAUAUAUUACAAGUUUGUCUCCUAUGACUGAGCACUCAGUUAACAUUACAAGGCCUUUCUAGCCAUGGUAGACAUAAGUCGGCUGGGUAUUAAUAGAGAUGGGCCACUGCUGACUGGAUACCUGUGUAAGUCAGCUACCUAGGCUAGAAAGUAGAUCUCAUUCCUGACUGAAUUGACUUGAGGGAUGGAAAUGUGUGGGUGUUUCUUUUUUUUAUUCCCUGUAGCAAUUUACAUCUCCAAGAGAAAUGUCCUCCUCUGCUCUCUUUUACAGAUUUUUAUCUCUAGCAAUUUAAAUCUCCUAGAGAAAUGUCCACUUCCUCUGCUCUCUUCUAGGCUAGGACUUUGGCAGUCCCCCAUAGAUGCAUGCAAAAGUUCCCAGUCACAAUUUCGCGCACCUCAAGGUAGGGUUGGGAAACUCUUUAAUCUACAAUCCUGCCUGAACAGCCUCUGCUAGUCUGUAGCUAGAUGAGCCAAUAGUCUGACCUGGUAUAAGAAAACUUCCUGUAUUCCUGUGACCCAUCAAGGAAUAACUGUAC